rnacentral:piRNA from 1 species
UGCCAGAGGAUAUAGUCAUCUAUAGUC